GAUGAAGAACGCAGCGAAAUGCGAUAAGUAAUGUGAAUUGCAGAAUUCAGUGAAUCAUUGAAUCUUUGAACGCACAUUGCGCCCCCUGGUAUUCCGGGGGGCAUGCCUGUUCGAGCGUCAUUUCACCACUCAAGCCUCGCUUGGUAUUGGGCAACGCGGUCCGCCGCGUGCCUCAAAUCGACCGGCUGGGUCUUCUGUCCCCUAAGCGUUGUGGAAACUAUUCGCUAAAGGGUGUUCGGGAGGCUACGCCGUAAAACAACCCCAUUUCUAAGGUUGACCUCGGAUCAGGUAGGGAUACCCGCUGAACUUAAGCAUAUCAAUAAGGGAGGA
rnacentral:misc_RNA from 1 species